rnacentral:lncRNA from 1 species
UUGAGGGUGUUGUGUGAGGGCGGUGUCGCAUUCGGGAAGGUGCAAAAUAGUUAACUGGUUGGGACCUGUUGGGUAUACUGCUGCCUGCCGUCAGUCGAGUCACUGAACGCUGCGUUCUAAAGCCUUCAUGUACUUCCAACGGGUGCGAGGAAGCUUCGGAGUUAUAGUAGGCAUUUGUAUAUGUUGCUUGUUGUUUGGCCUUUUCGUCAUCUUGACCGUUCAAACCUCAGAAGAAUCAGUUCACUGCGCUGGCUUGGUUGAGUACCUUCUGAAUGAGUACAAAGAUAUGGCACUUAAAAAAUCUGUUUUGGAGAAGCAAAAGUAUAUUGAAGUGAAAAAACUCAAGGAAGAGCUAAAAGAGCAAUCAAAAGAAUUUAGGAAGACCACAAAGAAUUGUACAAACAUUGUUAAUGGUCUGCGAGGUGAUGUCAAAGGACAUGUUGAAAAUUGGGGAAAAACAAUGAAAUUGCUGGAUGGUGCAUUCAGCACCAUGGAUGGCAGUUCAGCGGUGCUGGUGACUGUGCUGAAGGCACUGCGGGAGGCAGAAGAAAAGGUGGUCUCGCUGGAGCAUCAGCUGGCGCAGCUGACGAAUGCUACCGUCUGACUUGGGCGCUCGUUCAGCCGCUGACUUGUGUGCGACCCGAGGACAGCUGAUUGUCGGGCCGACAUGCCGUCCCCUCCCUUCAGUCGGACGCGAUGAGCGAAGCAGCUGACCGGUGUGCGACCCGAGAACAGCUGAUUGUCGGGCCGAUAUGCCGUCCCCUCCCUUCAGUCGGACGCGAUGAGCGAAGCCACUGGAGUUGCGCAAGAAUAACCGAUAUUACCGAUGCAAGUCCGUCCAUGCGUGAUGCCAGCUCAUUUGUGUAACCAUUUGGCUGCGCUUGCGUAAGAUAUCUCCCUCUCAGGAACGUGUUAUGCGUGAUUGGCCGGGUUUACCCACGCGCUCUGCGUCCAUGUGGUGGGCCAGGUCGAGUCCGCUCAGGGCGCUGCGCACGAACGCCCCAAUCUCGGAGUGGACCGGCCUCCGGUAUCUUCAGGGGCGGUUGGCGGGGCGCGCCAAGAUGUGGAGACAUGCAGCACAAUCCGUGCGCGCAUGGCGCAUGCCGGGCUCCGUGGCCGUGUCGUGCCGCUCACGUGGGCACGCGUCAAACGCUGCCAGCUAUUGCCGCGCUUUCUAAGGUGGCGGUCUGCUGCGUGUGUUGUCCGCCACAUUCUAUUGUGACGUCGUGCUGUGCGCCGUGCGGUUACUUUUUGUCUGAUGUUCGUUUGUGGUUUUUAGCGGCAUGGUGCGCUCGCGGCACGCGCCGGUUUUACAGAGCAUGUGCGGGCAGGGGGGUCGCACGGACAGGAUGGGGAAAACAGGUGGCCGUUUCCCCUCCAAGCCCCGUACAAUUUUGCGUGAUCCCGCAUAAAUAAGUGAGGUACAAACUCUUACUUCCCUUACCCUGAAGUUCCACGAACGGUAAGCGCGUCGGCAGCGGUUGCGAGCCUGUGGUCCGUUUUCCCACAGUCGCCGAAUGUGCAACUUGCCGUUUCCGACUGACGUGGUUUGGUUGGGUGUUACGCGUCGGUGGUUUACGUAUCGACCAAUGUGCCAACGCCGACAUGGGAGGCCAGCUAACGAGAUUAUAAUCACGCCAAUUUGACAUGUUGUAUACUCGGAGGGCAAACUAGGAAUGCGCCCACUUUGCUGGUGCAGCUGCUCUGUCAAUCGUGUAUGAGAAAUAAAGGGUGGAAGCCA